ACGGAAGGCAGCAGUGGGGAAUAUUGGGCAAUGGGCGAAAGCCUGACUCAGCGACGCCGCGUGAAGGAAGAAGGCCCUCGGGUUGUAAACUUCAGUCAACAGGGAAGAAACAAAUGACGGUACCUGUGGAGGAAGCCACGGCUAACUACGUGCCAGCAGCCGCGAUAAUACGUAGGUGGCGAGCGUUAUCCGGAUUUACUGGGUGUAAAGGGUGUGUAGGCGGGUCUGCAAGUCAGAUGUGAAAACUAUGGGCUUAACUCAUAGCUUGCAUUUGAAACUGUGGAUCUUGAGUGUCGGAGGGGUAAAUGGAAUUCCCAGUGUAGCGGUGAAAUGCGUAGAUAUUGGGAGGAACACCAGUGGCGAAGGCGAUUUACUGGACGAUUACUGACGCUGAGACACGAAAGUGUGGGGAGCAAACAGGAUUAGAUACCCUGGUA
rnacentral:rRNA from 1 species